rnacentral:rRNA from 1 species
AGGACGAACGCUGGCGGCGUGCCUAACACAUGCAAGUCGAGCGAGGAGAUCCUUCGGGAUGAUCCUAGCGGCGGACGGGUGAGCAACACGUGGGCAACCUGCCUCAUAGAGAGGAAUAGCCUUCCGAAAGGGAGAUUAAUACCUCAUAACAUUGCAGUUUCGCAUGGAACAGCAAUUAAAGGAGUAAUCCGCUAUGAGAUGGGCCCGCGGCGCAUUAGCUAGUUGGUGAGGUAAUGGCUCACCAAGGCGACGAUGCGUAGCCGACCCGAGAGGGUGAUCGGCCACAUUGGAACUGAGACACGGCCCAGACUCCUACGGGAGGCAGCAGUGGGAAUAUUGCACAAUGGGGGAAACCCUGAUGCAAGCAACGCCGCGUGAGUGAUGACGGCCUUCGGGUUGUAAAGCUCUGUCUUCAGGGACGAUAAUGACGGUACCUGAGGAGGAAGCCACGGCUAACUACGUGCCAGCCGCUGC